AACGAACGCUGGCGGCAGGCCUAACACAUGCAAGUCGAGCGAGGACUUCGGUCCUAGCGGCGGACGGGUGAGUAACGCGUGGGAACGUGCCCUUUGGUACGGAAUAGCCCCGGGAAACUGGGAGUAAUACCGUAUGGUGUCUUCGGACUAAAGAUUUAUCGCCAAAGGAUCGGCCCGCGUUGGAUUAGGUAGUUGGUGGGGUAAUGGCCUACCAAGCCGACGAUCCAUAGCUGGUUUGAGAGGAUGAUCAGCCACACUGGGACUGAGACACGGCCCAGACUCCUACGGGAGGCAGCAGUGGGGGAAUCUUAGACAAUGGGGGCAACCCUGAUCUAGCCAUGCCGCGUGAGUGAUGAAGGCCCUAGGGUUGUAAAGCUCUUUCAGCUGGGUAGAUAAUGACGGUACCAGCAGAAGAAGCCCCGGCUAACUCCGUG
rnacentral:rRNA from 1 species